UUUAUGACCUCUGACCUCAAAUCAGGU
rnacentral:rRNA from 1 species